rnacentral:lncRNA from 1 species
CAAGGAAUGUUUUGGGCAGCCAAUUAAUUUAUGCACCAUGAAUUGAUAUGCAUGUGCAUCACACAUGCAUGAUAAAACUGUUUGGGUGAGUGACAAAGGCAAGUUGAGGCACCACAUGAUGAUGCAUCAUGGAAAGACAUGGCAAGAAUUAUUUGACGUGAAAUAGGGAAGGACCCUUCUUCAUUUCACACCAAAACCAUGAUUGUUCAUGUUCUCCA